rnacentral:rRNA from 1 species
GUCCACGCCGUAAACGAUGUCAACUAGCCGUUGGUCCUAUUUACAGGAUUAGUGGCGCAGCUAACGCCUUAAGUUGACCGCCUGGGGAGUACGGCCGCAAGGUUAAAACUCAAAUGAAUUGACGGGGGCCCGCACAAGCGGUGGAGCAUGUGGUUUAAUUCGAUGCAACGCGAAGAACCUUACCUACCCUUGACAUCAAGAGAAUCUGUUAGAGAUAGUAGAGUGCCUUCGGGAACUCUGAGACAGGUGCUGCAUGGCUGUCGU